UACGUAGGGGGCAAGCGUUGUCCGGAUUUAUUGGGCGUAAAGAGCGUGUAGGCGGUCAGGUAGGUCCGUUGUGAAAACUCGAGGCUCAACCUCGAGACGCCGAUGGAAACCAUCUGACUAGAGUCCGGAAGAGGAGAAUGGAAUUCCUGGUGUAGCGGUGAAAUGCGCAGAUAUCAGGAAGAACACCCGUGGCUAAGGCGGCUCUCUAGUACGGUACUGACGCUGAGACGCGAAAGCGUGGGGAGCGAACAGG
rnacentral:rRNA from 1 species